UCCGGUGACUUUACCGAGGGGGUCACACCCGUUCCCAUUCCGAACACGGCAGUUAAGCCCCUCAGGGCCGAUGGUACUAGGCUUUUGUGGUCUGGGAGAGUAGGACGUUGCCGGAU
rnacentral:rRNA from 3 species